UGGGGAAUAUUGCGCAAUGGGGGGAACCCUGACGCAGCAACGCCGCGUGAAGGAAGAAGUAUUUCGGUAUGUAAACUUCUAUCGACAGGGAAGAAAGAAAUGACGGUACCUGAAUAAGAAGCCCCGGCUAAUUACGUGCCAGCAGCCGCGGUAAUACGUAAGGGGCAAGCGUUAUCCGGAUUUACUGGGUGUAAAGGGUGAGUAGGCGGCAGAGCAAGUCAUAUGUGAAAGACCGGGGCUUAACCCCGGGGGUGCAUAAGAAACUGUUUUGCUUGAGUGCGGGAGAGGCAGGCGGAAUUUCCAGUGUAGCGGUGAAAUGCGUAGAUAUUGGGAAGAACACCGGUGGCGAAGGCGGCCUGCUGGACCGUAACUGACGCUGAGUCACGAAAGCGUGGGGAGCGAACAGG
rnacentral:rRNA from 1 species